AUUGAACGCUGGCGGCAGGCCUAACACAUGCAAGUCGAACGAGUGGCGGACGGGUGAGUAAUGUCUGGGAAACUGCCUGAUGGAGGGGGAUAACUACUGGAAACGGUGGCUAAUACCGCAUACCAUCAGAUGUGCCCAUAUGGGAUUAGCUAGUUGGUGGGGUAAAGGCUCACCAAGGCAACGAUCCCUAGCUGGUCUGAGAGGAUGACCAGCCACACUGGAACUGAGACACGGUCCAGACUCCUACGGGAGGCAGCAGUGGGGAAUAUUGGACAAUGGGGGAAAGCCUGAUGCAGCCAUGCCGCGUGUAUGAAGAAGGCCUUCGGGUUGUAAAGUACUUUUAGCGGGGAGGCGUUACCCGCAGAAGAAGCACCGGCUAACUCCGUGCCAGCAGCCGCGGUAAUAC
rnacentral:rRNA from 1 species